rnacentral:RNase_P_RNA from 2 species
GGGGGAAAGCUCCUCAGCGGGGUCACAUGCUGAGUGCUCCUUACUCCCCACCCNUGGAAAGUUCUGAGACUGGGGCCUCCCAAGGCCCUAACUAGGCCCNCCCUUUGCAGGUAGAUGAGUUUCCAGAGAGCAGGGCUCCAUGUGUGGACAGACUUUCAAGCAUGGGAGCUUGAAACAGACUCACUGCUGGGGCAGGCAGUAUUAGCAUACAAGAGAAGCUCCCUGGCUCU